rnacentral:rRNA from 1 species
UUUAAACUUCACAAAUCUACUUAUUUUUACUAUUAAUAAUCCAUUAAUAUCUUUACUGAAAAGGAUACAGCUAAAUUAAUAAGAAUAACCUACCUUUCGUAUCAGGGAAUUUUAAACAAUAUUUAAUAUCUUAAAAGCUCUCGAAACUGUAAGAUCUAAAAACCUAUAUUAGAACCGUUAUAACGUAUAAAAAUACGCUUUUAGAAGUGAAACGCUAACCGAGUACAGUAAUAUCUAGUUUUUCAUUCUUAAAGAAUAAUCUUCAACCACCGUACCUCACAAAUUAAGAUACAAAUAAGCACUAAAAUACAAAUCAAACAAAAAAGACUAAAAGUAUCUACAGUUUAAAAACUAAUUUACCCACCAAUCAACUUACUUAAAAUGAAACCCCCUUUAUAUAACAACAACCAAUGAGACUAUUAGUAAUCACAUUAACUCUUUUAAAAGGAACUACAGAUUCAAAUGACUGUUUACCAAAAACAUUUCUUUAAGGAGUAAUUUAAGUAAAACCUGCUCAAUGACAAGAAUAAAUAGCCGCAGUAUUACUGUGCUAAGGUAGCAUAAUAAUUUGCUUCUUAAUUAGGAGAUCGUAUGAAGGGUUAUACAUUAGAAUCCUGUCUCUUUUAACCAAAUAAACUUAAGUAAAAAGUAAAAACUCUUUUAACCAAAGCGGGACGACAAGACCCUGACAAACUUAACAUUUAGUUGGGGAAACAAAAUAAUAAAUAUUUAUUCAUAACCUAAACAUAACUUUAAAAUAAAAAUAAGACUAGUUACUGCAGGGAUAACAGCGUUAUUUCUUUUGAGAGCUCUUAUCUAAAAAGAAGAUUACGACCUCGAUGUUGAAUUAAUUCCGCUAUACAGGUGCAACAACCUUAUAAGGUAGUCUGUUCGACUAUUAAAAAAUUACAUGAUUUGAGUUCAGAUCGGUGUAAGCCAGAUCGGUUUCUAUCUGCUUCAAUUAAUCAAUAGUACGAAAGGACCUUGAUUAAUAAUAAAAUU